CAUUAUUGUUUUAUUCUACAGAGUGAACCCAUUGUGUAAUUCUAUCUACCAGUACCAGUAACUAUCACCAGCUACAAUCCAAGGAGGAUUACUAGCUGGACCCUGCUCCUUAUGUUAUGAAGGCAUCUUCUGCAAAGAGUCUGCAUUGCUUGAUUUAUUCACAAUCAUUUGGAGGGCCUCCAUACUUCUGUCUGCCAUCCCAGGAUGAGGUGUGGACCAUCCAUUCUCCCAGUGGGAAAUUGAAGGAUGUUCUUUGUUGUAUUUGCAACAAUGUUGCAGUUUUCUGCAGUUUGCUGUUGGAACCUCCCGGAAACUGUAAAAGUGAAAACACUUUUUUUUUUUUUUUUUUUUUUCAUAUAACAAUUCAUUUGUGGAUCACUCUUCAAAGAAAACAUCCAGAUCUUAAGAAAUGUACCGUGGAAAUACUACCGUUAAUAGCAAAUUUAUAAUGGCUUUCUUGAAUCCACAGAAAAACAUCUUUUGCAUGCAGAGAUUGCUAAAUUUCUAUACAAAUGUGACAGACUACACAUUACUAAUACUACAGUAAAAGCCUGAAGAAUUAAAACCUCCUAUCUCUUGAUUUUUAGGACUGAAAAAUGGUAAGGGCAUUUCACAGUUCACCAUACAGUACUCAAACAACUAGAAUCUUCUGGCUAACCUUUUUCUUGCUCUGGAACAUUCACAACUGCUUAUUAAGGUCAUAGUAUAAUUGGUUUGUUGAUUCUUCGUCAAUUCAGACAGGAAUUCGUAUUGUGGCAAGAUGACAAGGAGCUGAUGUUACGUGUAUGAUAUUAUAUCUUUCAGCAAAGUAGAGCUCUUUGGAUGUGAAUUAAGUUCCAGUGUCACAUGCAAUCUGUUUCAGAGCUGCUUUAUUUGAAGAAAACAAAAGGGUUCACACUUUUACCAUCUACACUGUGGAGCUGAAUUCACAUUAGAUACUUCAGGUCAUUUUAAAUAAGCAUUUUGACAAUUAGGAACAUACGCUCCUUAAACAGUCUAUCAAAGUCAGAAUGCUAACAUGACUUGCUGUUUCUACUGCUGUUGUUUAUCCUCAAAAUCACCCUUUCAUGCAGACUGACAAUUCUGAUGAAACUGAAGGAAAGCACAGCUCCUGUGUCAAGUUUGAUUUUGAGUCAAGUUUCUUUAAUCUGUAAAACAAAUCAUACCAUACUUUUAAGUAGUAUCUCUUAAAUUAAAUAUUAAUAAAGAUGUUGUACUAGGUUACACUAGGAUGAUGGUAAAUGGAUGAAUUGAAACUCUCUGGGAUUGCUAUUGUAAUAGGAUAAAAUAUCUUAUAUGUCAUCUACAAAGACGUUAAUGCACUGCAUUUUAUGUUGGAUUCACCGAUCAACCAUCAAUUAUUUACACUUUAUUUACUUGGUUGCCUUUCUUUUGUUCUUUCCUGUCAUGUGUGCUCCAACUUAUUGAAUGUUUGUUGCAUAAGAUUUGUGACACUGAUACAGAUUUUUGCAGAAUUCCAGAUAGGAUCAACAGUGUCUGGUACGUGCCUUCAAGCCCUUUGCAGCACAAAAGUAUGGUGGAGUUUUGCACUGUGUUUUACACGUCCUAAAGAUUUCCCCAAAUACAGUAGCAUUCAU